rnacentral:rRNA from 2 species
UUAUAUUCUGUAGCAAGGUUAACCGUAUAGGGGAGCCGUAGGGAAACCGAGUCUUAACCGGGCGUUAAGUUGCAGGGUAUAGACCCGAAACCCGGUGAUCUAGCCAUGGGCAGGUUGAAGGUUGGGUAACACUAACUGGAGGACCGAACCGACUAAUGUUGAAAAAUUAGCGGAUGACCUGUGGCUGGGGGUGAAAGGCCAAUCAAACCGGGAGAUAGCUGGUUCUCCCCGAAAGCUAUUUAGGUAGCGCCUCGUGAAUUCAUCUCCGGGGGUAGAGCACUGUUUCGGCUAGGGGGCCAUCCCGGCUUACCAACCCGAUGCAAACUGCGAAUACCGGAGAAUGUUAUCACGGGAGACACACGGCGGGUGCUAACGUCCGUCGUGAAGAGGGAAACAACCCAGACCGCCAGCUAAGGUCCCAAAGUCAUGGUUAAGUGGGAAACGAUGUGGGAAGGCCCAGACAGCCAGGAUGUUGGCUUAGAAGCAGCCAUCAUUUAAAGAAAGCGUAAUAGCUCACUGGUCGAGUCGGCCUGCGCGGAAGAUGUAACGGGGCUAAACCAU